rnacentral:lncRNA from 1 species
AGAACGUAGUUUUGUAGUAACAGACCAGGAAACUUUAUAGGUGACCCGAUUUUGACCUGACAUCAAUUUCACUUCACUCGUCGUAAAUUUACAUGCAUAGUUAACCCAAUCCCUUUCUUUUUUACGUAGGUGCCAUAAUUGGCACGGUUAUGACUACAUAACUAUAUUCUCAGCUCAAACAUAGAGCACACAGCAAUCAAGCAAAGAAACGAACAAAAACAAAACAACUGCAUCCACAAGAAUCCAGUGCCGCGAGCAAGUAGCGGAGAAUGUAAGAGAACCAGGCUGAAGAAUGCUUCUAAUGUCAUGCCCUGGUGGAUCUGGGAUAUAAGAUCACCCCCUUCGAGCUGACAACAAUCAUGACUAUGUGACUGAAUACAAGUUAAGCAUUGUCCACUGUCGGUGCCUGUCAAGGAAGGGCAACAUUUAAGGACUACAAUAGUAAACUUCAUCAUGCUUUAGCCGGUUAGGAAUUAAGUACACAAAAAAGGAAAACACUGGCCCCAUUCUUGUCAUAUGCAAGUAGCCCCGUUCUUGUCAUAUGUUACACCCAAUGCAUGCAAACAAGCACUACCUCUGUCCCAUAAUAUAAUACGUUUAGGAGUACGUAGUAAUUUUAGACCUUUUUAGGCAUCUACAAUGCUGGCUCUUAGCCCAGGCGCUAGGAUGUUAUUCCUGGCCAUUUUGGCUCCAUCCUGUUCGAUCCUAGGAUUUAGGCAAGCGUCGCUGCCAAGCCAAUCGUCUGACUCUUGGUCCUCUAUUUUUUGCCAUAAGACUUUUUAACAAACGCUGCAUCUUCGCCAAGCGACUUCAAGGUAUCUUUGCCUACGGACAUACAACAUCUUCGCCAACAAGCACUCUAAGACUACGCUCAAGAGAAGCUCCUCAAGCUCAAGUCCGCGACUUCCACGAGCUACUACGACCUCGACAUCGACCAUAUGAUUCCUUUCUAUGGAACUCUAGAACCGAGGAGUAUCUCGAGUGCGAGCGCUUGAUGGACGACUACCUCAAGCUACAUCAAGUUCCUCCCGAAGAUCAAGUGAAGUGCGCCACAAGAAACUUUCACCACUACGCGUCAACAUGGUGGCUUCACACACCUUUGGAGAGCUACGACAUGAGUUGGUCCAAGACAAAGAAAGCUAUGCGGCGAGAGUUCGUGCCUCCAACCUACACGGAAUAACUUCUACGCCAAUUGGAGAACACCGCCCAAGGAUCCAAGUCCAUCGACACAUACUUCAAGGAGAUGAAGAAUGUCUUGCAACGAGCCGGCGUGGACGACCCCAUUUUAAUGAAGUUCCACUUCAUGAUGGGAUUGCGCAACGACAUCUCCAAGACUAUCUUCCUCGAGAACUACAAGUCCCUCGACGACUACUACAUUGGUGCUCUCAAGGCGGAACAAGAACUCAUGAAGGCCAAGGCUUCUCCACCCAAGCACACUUCUCGAAGACCAAGCUCCAAGACGGCGAGCAUGAGGAUAGUACCACCACGAUGUCCAAACCCGACAAGCUCCAAGACGACGCUCCCAAGUUUGACUUCACCGCCAUCCCACUUUAUGGCAUUGAUAAUGCCGAGUCUACUUCGACUCUUUCAAGAUGGUGCGGCGACGACUACGACUACGGAGGCAUUCAAGGACCAAGCUUUGGAGGCGAACGACAUGGUGACGAGCAAGGAUGAUACUUCCAUCUUUGGAGGCGAGUGAUGAUGUGCCAUCUUCGGCCUUUAUCCAUGGCGACAGCGACGAGAUGGUGGAGCAUGGGAUUUUCCCUUCGACCACGGCGACGUAUGAUGACUUGAGUGACUUUUGCCAUCAUAUUGAGAGUGAGAGUGACUUCACCACUAGCCUCAUAUAUGAUGUGUUGCCCCAAUUCCCAUGUGAGAGCCAUAACCCCCACCACUUGAGUAAGAUGAGUGACUCCUCCAUACGUGAGAUUGAGUGCACCUAUUUUGAGGAAGUGAGUGAACCACCACAUAGAGAGUGAGAUAGUUGAUAGGGCAUGUGAGGCCAUUUCGAUUUCUAAUGACUUAACCUCUACCACUAUUGUGUCUUUCAUUUGGUGCUAGGUCCCAUAUAUGAUGACGCGCCGAUUCGCGAUGACUGCGACAUGGUUCCAUAAAGAUGAUGACAUUGACCACCAUUUGAUCUUUCCCACCUCACCUACACCACUUGAGUGGAAUGAGUAAGGUAACAUAGGUGAAGGUGAUGCUCUGGUCUCACUAGUGGACAUUCUUGACAUUGAUUGCUUGCAUGAUGUUGAUCCACCUAUUACCAUGCUUCAUGCUAGUAUGACUUCCCCAUGCGAUGAUUUACCCAUUUAUGAUGAAUUUGAUGAUUGCCAUGUGGAGUCUAUUAGUUGCGAUGUCACGUUGCAUAGGAUUUCUUGGCAUAAUUCUUUAGGUCGCAUCGUGUUUGACAAUCCGCUUGACC